AUUCACGGAGAGUUUGAUCCUGGCUCAGGACGAACGCUGG
rnacentral:rRNA from 1 species